CCUCUCUCGCACUCUCUCAAAUCUUGCCUCAUCUCCAGCUCGCCAGCCAUCUCCCUACUGUCCAAUCCAGUUCUCCACCCAUCAAUCGUCAUAACCCAGCUCUCCUCAAAUUCGGAACCCUAGCUUGACCCUAGCCAAGCCGCCGCAACUCACGACCUCCGUUGUCGACCUCCACCGCGAAGCCACUAUCGCGACUCCACAGCCCAGCCACAGUCGCGACCUCCGUUGUCGUUCUCGACAGCGGGGCAUUCAUGGGCUCCAUUUUUGGCUACGGUCCUCUAUCUCUCUCCCUCUCCUUCUCUGUAAGUCCUCUUCUUCUCCGUCUUCAAAUUUCAGUAAUCCUCUUUACCACUAACCUGAACCACCUACUUCUCUGGUUCUCUUCUUCUUCAUGUCAUUCAAUUUCAAUUUUUUUUCUUUCUAAAUUCUAUU